UAAGUAAAUAGUUCUUUGCCUUUGUCCUACAAGUACAAUGCUAUUAUCUUUAGGAUUAGUGAUUAUGCAUACAGAUGCUUCAAAUGUAACUUUAAACUCUUUAUCACAGAAUUGACUUAUGCUAAGAAGGUUAUGUUUCAAACCCUUAACUAAUAAGACAUUUUCUACAAAAAUAGAUGGAGCAAUGAAAAUUUUACCCUUUCCAAUGAUAUGCCCUUUACCAUUGUCUCCAUAGGUUACUACUCCACCCUUCUUUGAUUCCAAGGUGACAAAUUGAUCUUCGUCACCGGUCAUGUGUCUUGAACAGCCGCUAUCUAGAUACCAUCGUUUUUCCACUUUGUCAGCUGCAAGACACACCUGCAAUCAAGAUCAAGAAGAAACUUUAGGUACCCAAACUAAGUUGGGUCCUUUAGGGUUAGUACUCCAUGUUCCUUUUGGAACCCAAACUUUCUUGAAUUUAAUCUUUUGAUUAUAACUUAAUUUGUUUUGACUGGA
rnacentral:lncRNA from 1 species